rnacentral:lncRNA from 1 species
ACUUGUGCCCAGAGUUUGAUUUUCCACAGACCAGGUAGAGGCCAAGAGCCUCUCACAGACUCUGCAGCAGGGUUGCUAUGAUUAACUCUUAAGUACUCCACAACUACACGCUUUUGAAACUGGCGUUGGCAUAGCGUUAGUUCUGUGCAGGGCGGACGCAGCAGGACAGAAUCUCCCUGGGCAUCUUUUCGGAGCAUCAAUUUUACUGCAAAAUUUUGAAAAAACAAAUUUAAUUGAUUUCCAAGGUUUGUCAAGGAGGACAGAAACUCAGAGCACCCUGCACUUGGGGAUCGGCACUAGGAGCUGCUCUCUGGAUGGGGAGAUGGGAGCUAGCAGCUCACAAUGGGGUCACAAGACAGGAGUGUUAUUGGGAGAAUCCUGUUUUGUUGACAAAUACUGAGAUCAUCCAACUCACCAGGCAAAGUUGACUUGUGUAAGUGAUCUUCAGAUAUGAAAAGUGUGGAACCCAGCUGCUCCUCCUCAGAUAGGCGACAUGACAAUUGUAGGCCUGGAGGGAGAUGAGUUGACAACAUCCCUUCCCUAUAACCACUUGUUGGAUCUGAUCUCACAUACACAGACUCACUCCAAAGACUGACCUGGGUGUCUGCUUCUCAGCUUCAUUAACAGUGGGUGCUCACAAGUCUAGUGGAGAGAAUGUCUGAGAAGAGGAGGACCUUGACUGCUCCUGAACCGGAGACCUCAGAACCAUGGUGCUCUCCUGUCCAGGCUGAACACUAAUGCUCUUGAGAGUCACAUUGAAGAAAGCCAACAUUUUUAAAUCUAAUGGAUACAUUCAUUUUGUGGUAUGUGAUGUUUAGAAAGAGGGAGCUAAAGUUAGUGGUCAUGAGCUAAAUACCCUGUGAGUGCUGGAGGCUGAGAACUUCAAGAUCAAAGUACUGGAAGAUUUACUGUCUGUAGUAACAGGAUCUUCUACACUGUAGCUGCUUCCAGUGUGAGCCAGACAAAUGUACUGAAUAUAGGUAAGUACUGCUCAGUUUUCUCCAUGAGCUUCAUCCUCAGGGCCACGUUUCUUAUUCUGACAACACUUAGGGAUGCUUUCCUGGUAGGAAUACUGCUGUUCUUAAUUGCAUACAUGGUGACUCUCUUAUUCAGGCCUCAGAGGUGAUCCCACCACCUUCACAGCAAUGGUCCUUCCCCAGGAGCUUCCCCUGAGAAACGGGCCAUCCAGACCAUACUGCUGCUGAAUAAUGUCUCAUUGGAAAUCUCAACAUUCUUCAUUUAGAACACCACCGCCAAUAUCUACCAUAUGCCGGGAUUAUUGUGCAGGGUAAUUUUUAUUAUUACUUGAAUGUAUAUUUAUAUACUGCAGGAACUAUACAUGUUUAUGGCUAGAAUUACUGUUUUUCCUUAAUAUUAAGAUAGUAUUGGUAGAUUUAAUUAUCUGAAUUUAGUCAUUUGGCUCCAGUCAAAAUGGUUUCUCCUUAGCAGUACUCUGACUUUGUAAAAGUAAUCACAUUUGGAUUCUGUUUCCUCCAGUAGUUUUUAAAAUGAUUUUUUUGAUUAUUCAUAUAACUUUUUUUUAAUGAUCUUUUAAAAACUAGUAUGUGGUUAUAUAUUACUUGUUACACUUUUUGUUUUCUUUAUUUUUUGGUUGGUUACACCUUAAAUGAUUAUUUCUAUUGCCUUUUAAUGUUACUUAGAAAAUAUCACAUGUAAGACUUUUGCUUUUAUAAAGUUAGUAAUACAUUUUCAAGCCUAAACUCUUGAAAUUUUAAUAAUUUCUAUGAUAUUUGAAAAUUAUUUUUAUCUUCUUUUGAGUGCUAAAAGAUAAUAUUUGUCUACCUGAUUAACUAGCACAACUUUUAAAAAGUUAUUUAGCACUCUUUAUAUUCAUUCAUUUGUUUU